rnacentral:rRNA from 1 species
UACGUAGGCAGCGAGCGUUGUUCGGAGUUACUGGGCGUAAAGGGUGUGUAGGCGGUUGUUUAAGUUUGGUGUGAAAUCUCCCGGCUCAACUGGGAGGGUGCGCCGAAUACUGAAUGACUUGGAGUGCGGGAGAGGAGAGUGGAAUUCCUGGUGUAGCGGUGAAGUGCGUAGAUAUCAGGAGGAACACCGGUGGUGUAGGCGGCUCUCUGGACCGUAACUGACGCUGAGACACGAAAGCGUGGGUAGCAAACAGG